UUCCAUGAAUUUACACUCCAUCAUCAUCUCUUCCACUUUAUUGUGCCCUAAAACCCACUGUCGAUGCCUGCGACUUCUUUCAUGAUCGCCAUUGCCGUCGCCAUGUUCAAGGACCUCUCUACAAAAUUGCCGAAUGGGCGAAAGAUUAAGGAGAUACAACCGUUGGUUUUUCUGCUACGAGCAAAAAAGCGGGAAAACGGAGAAGAAGAACGAAGAGGAGAGACGGGGAUAGAGGCGGUUUCAGUCAGAACUAUGGCGCAGGAGACUCUGGGGGACUUUGGAACCCUAGCCACUGUUGCCUAUGUUUUCUUGGGCUACACUUCUAUGGUGGCCUAUGUUUCCAAGUCGGGUGAGAUCCUUCUCUAAUCGUUCAAUCUUCCAUCUCCACUUACAGGCUUCCUUUUCUCUUUGGUUUUUUCUCUGCUAGCCAUAGAUCAAAUCAACCAAUGGCUUACUGCUUGCAUGAAAGAUCGAGCCUGAGCGGAACUUGCUGCGAGCUGCUUGGUUUGGAAACAAUCUUGAGAUACACAUUAUGACAUGUAUGCAGUAUCCGUCUCAUAAAUUGCGAACCCAAGGACCGAAAUUUGCAGGGCGUUGUCAUGGGGAAGGCCAUAGAAUGCCUCAGGCCAAGGAUCAGAAAAAAAGGAGAAAGAAGAGCUGAGAAAAGACAAGAUAGUGGAGAUGGGUGCCAUUUUUCCUCCAAAGUGCUGCAAGUUAAUGCAGUUGUUUCACUUAUUCUUUAUGCUUUUCUGGAGUGGGCGAGUUUAUCUAGAGCUGAAGGAGAUUGAAGCUCACUGAAAUAUCUAGUUAUAAACCUUAACGAUGAGUUACUUUCACUAAACCUCUGGAUUCUAUGCCCUGACCCAGAAAGCAGGAGGAAUAAUAUUUUGUGUUUGGAAGGAGUUUGAUAUAAUGCAAUUAUGCAGGCGAGUCUUAGAAUUCCAAACUCAAGUGAAGCAUAGUCGUGGUUGCUUGUACUUGAAUAUUUUGGGAUUAUUGUGGAGAAAAGAAAAAGAAGAAUCACAACAAACAAGAAAGGAAAAAAGAAGACUGGGAAUGGGACCAGUCAUGUCAUAGAUAUUUGGACUCCUGUAGUUCGUUGUUGAGUGAAAGGCUAAAUAAAGAAUCAAAUGUCGGAAGCUGGUUGUGGAAUGAUGAGCCAGUUGAAGGGAAUCUGAGGACACCAACUCCUAGGCAUCAUUGAAGAGAGCGGCCUGCACUUCUUGGGGGGAGGUUUAUUUGCUUGUGGUGUAAUGGUGGAGCAACUUCUAUCCU